GUGCGGUGGCGAAACAGCGGUGUCUGCGGGCUCACUGUCAUUCACAAGUGGCUCCAGUCUGGUUUGGGGGUCUACCCUUUCUUAUCAUGUCCUGCCACCCAAUAAAGCCAUUCACAAGUGGCUCCAGCCUGGUUUGGGGGUCUAGCCUUUCUCAUCCUGUCCUGCCACCCAAUAAAGCCAUUCACAAGUGGCUCCAGCCUGGUUUGGGGGUCUAGCCUUUCUCAUCCUGUCCUGCCACCCAAUAAAAAGAGAAAUUACUUAAGGCCUCUGCAACUGCUUUUACCAGAUGCUGUGAGAGAGCUAUGCCCUGUGCCGCGGCUUCUGAUUCAGUACAGCAGUUCAACCAGCCCAGCAAACAGGAAAAGCUCAAGGAGGUGUCUUAACUAUCAGCAUUCCUACCCAAACAGAUCAACCUACUGUUAUGUCCAACUAAGAAAAACAAUGG